rnacentral:rRNA from 2 species
AAAUUGAAGAGUUUGAUCAUGGCUCAGAUUGAACGCUGGCGGCAGGCCUAACACAUGCAAGUCGAACGGUAGCACAGAGAGCUUGCUCUCGGGUGACGAGUGGCGGACGGGUGAGUAAUGUCUGGGAAACUGCCUGAUGGAGGGGGAUAACUACUGGAAACGGUGGCUAAUACCGCAUAACGUCGCAAGACCAAAGAGGGGGACCUUCGGGCCUCUUGCCAUCAGAUGUGCCCAGAUGGGAUUAGCUUGUUGGUG